UUGACGCAAGUUGCGCCCGAGGCCACUCGGCCGAGGGCACGCCUGCCUGGGCGUCACGCCAAAACACGCUCCCAACCACCCUCAACGGGAAUCGGGAUGCGGCAUCUGGUCCCUCGUCUCGCAAGGGGCGGUGGACCGAAGAUCGGGCUGCCGGUGUACCGCGCCGGACACAGCGCAUGGUGGGCGUCCUCGCUUUAUCAAUGCAGUGCAUCCGACGCGCAGCUGGCAUUAUGGCCUCUAAACGACCCAACAAACGAAGCGCACGUCGCUUCGACCGCGACCCCAGGUCAGGCGGGACUACCCGCUGAGUUUAAGCAUAUAAAUAAGCGGAGGAGAAGAAACUUACAAGGAUUCCCCUAGUAACGGCGAGCGAACCGGGAGCAGCCCAGCUUGAGAAUCGGGCGGCUGUGCCGUCCGAAUUG
rnacentral:rRNA from 1 species